AUGGCGGACACCAGCACCUUCGCGGCGCCCCCGCCCCCGUGGAUGCCAUCCCCGGCCAUGUUCUUCACGCCGCCCGCGCUGCCGGGCUACUACCAGGGCUCCGCCGCGGGCGCCGUGCCGGGGGAGCCUCGGGAGGGCGGAGGCUCCAUCGGCACGUUCUUCGGCGUGCUCGCGGCGGUCCUGGUGCUCACCGCGGUGUCCUGCGUCUUCGGCCGCGUGUGCCGGGCGCAGGCCGAGGGGGCCGACGAGGUGUACGACUGCGCGAGGCUGUCGCGGCGAUGGCGCUGGUGGAGCGCGCCUCCCCGGAUCGUCAGGCGCGGGGCCAAGCCGCCGCCCGUGGAGGAGGUGCCUGCCGCGCUGCCGCUGCCGGAGCCAUGA
rnacentral:rRNA from 1 species